GCCUCCGUAGCUCAGGGGAAGAGCGCUUCUCUCCUAAAGAAGGUGUCGCAAGUUCGAAUCUUGCCGGGGGCG
rnacentral:tRNA from 1 species